ensembl:snRNA U2 U2 spliceosomal RNA
ACCGCUUCUCGGCCUUUUGGCUAAGAUCAAGUGUAGAUUUUCUUAAAUAUUGAUACUUGGAAGUAAAGGCUCUGAUUUUUUUUCUAUGAGAAUUUAUUGGGCUGUAUUAAGAUAUCAUGGAUCCAAAG